ensembl:lncRNA
AAUGGCUUCGUAUUACACGUAGUUAUCUAUGUAGGGUAUAGGGUCCAUCGUUUAAUACCCUUCAUAGGAAGCGGAAUACCAAAUGACUUCGUAUUACACGUAGUGCACUAUGUAGGGUAUAGGGUCCACUGUUUAAUACCCUUCAUAGGAAGCAGAAUACCAAAUGGCUUCGUAUUACACAUAGUGCACUAUGUAGGGUAUAGGGUCCACUGUUUAAUACCCUUCAUAGGAGGCGGAAUACCAAAUGACUUCGUAUUACACGUAGUGCACUAUGUAGGGUAUAGGGUCCACUGUUUAAUACCCUUCAUAGGAGGCGGAAUACCAAAUGGCUUCGUAUUGGACGUCCACAAGAUGUCCGCAUCCAGAGGCGGGACAUGUAUGGUUCUAGAGAGUAUUUAAUUGGACGAUCACAAACUUCUUACUACUUAUGAAUAAUAAUAAUAAUUUUUUUUUUUUAAACAGUAAUGAGCUAUAAAAUUAAAAUGAGAACAUCUCCGAAGCUAUUUGUAUCCCCCCCAACUGGUGUGUAUAACCCUAAAUACAGAAAGCUCCUUGAUUUCAGGGGCCCUUUAAAACAAGUUCCCAGGACAACAAGUAAGCCAAGGCCAAGCGAAAGCUCCGGUGUGUUGCUCAGUCCCAUGGAGAUCUAACUGACUAGCUUCAAAAUGUUCGCUAACGUACACACCAUAUGAAAUAACGCAUGGUGAGCUAGUUAGCUAAUCAAGAGCGUCAAUACAGACACAAACACGUAUAUAAAGUCGUCGUCCUGAUCGUUUUCAGGUGGGUCGUGCCGCCAUUUUGUUUCAACAUAGACCCCAAGUAAUAAUUUGUUUUCGCUAAAGUCAGUAGAGAGUACGGUUUAUUUUCUCGCGUUGGGUAACGUGAGAAAGGAGCGCGGUUAAACGAGUGGAUAAAACUGUCCAGUAAUCUCAACUCGCAGGUUAAAUCUGACAGGAUUAGUGCUGUUAUUAGCGUAAGGAAAGUAUUAUUAAUACUUUUAUGAAGUAAUAAUAAAUAAAAACAAAACGACUGUGUUCAGAGAGCUUGUGGUUUUCACACACACACCUUUUAACCUCGGCGAUUCCCUCACACACUUUCAGGUUCGGCAGACAAUCACGCGACGUCUCUAACGCUCUGAUACGCCGAGAGCCGAGUUCUCGUGUCUCGCACGUUGACCCGACUGUGAUGGAGGGGGCGGAGUCAGAGUCAGGUGAUCAGGGUUCCUCUCAGACUGGUUUAAACAACUACUUAAAGUGAAAGCGAGUCUGUUUGAGUGCAGAAAGAGGAACAUGGACAAAUACACACACACACACGCGCACACACACUCACACACUCACAGAGUGUAUUUAAGCAGG